CUGACAGCUAACGCUGUCAAAUGAAACGCACGCCCACUGAUAGGCGGUCAAUUGAAGACCUUCCAUCUCAAACACAGUCUGCAAAGUUAACCACCACCCAUCUUUCACUUGCUUGUUCUGCUCUGUAUCACAUACUACCUCCACAAUGGGUUGAGAUAUCUGAUGUACACCAUGGGGGAUGUAUCGCGCUCCUUGUAGUCAUGUUUGCAUGCAGUUGGUAUUCAGUAUCUGACAUCUGUAUGUCAUGUUUUAAAUCCUACAGCAGGGAGCACCAGAAAAGGAUGGAACCAUACCGAUAAAACUAAAGUUAACCAUUACCUUGUGGCUGCCCCAAUCAGAGAGCUGCAUACCAUUCAGCCAAUGGCAGUGGGUGGUGAGCAAACUAAAAACAUUAAAUACAAUUAUUUGCAGUGACUCAGCAAUUAAAUCAAAUUACAAGCCUAUUAGAAAAAUAUUGACCCGGUUGCACCCAUCUUUUAGUCACAAAUUAAAAUGUACAAAUUCUUGAAGUAUACCAUAUUUUAUGCCAUUACCACACACUUUUGCCAGCAUAUAAUAUAAAUAGGCUACGUCAUUCCGUAAAUCUUUGUUGGAAUUGUUACAAUUUGCAGAUAAAAAAGACCUUCGAAAAACGUGUUGUAGAACAUAAUGUGGGUUUACUGUCAUAAAGUGCCAGAAAGUUGAUAAUAUAAUUGACUCUUAUCAGUCAGCAUUUUACUGUCAUUGUUAUUUUUAUUCUCUCAAUUUUUCGCUAGUUUGCCUUUGUUGUCUUAUUAGUUCCACCCAAGUUAUUAAGUGGAUUUUGAGAAUCUGUUUUUUUUCUUGUGUGUUGUCGUGUAUUAAAGGUGUAAAGAUUUAAAGGUAAAAUAUGUAAUAUUUCUGCAUUAAAAUAUCAAAAAAC
ensembl:lncRNA